UUACAGCAACUCUUGUUUAUGAUUUACUUUCUAAUAUAAUAGCAUUAGAUAGUCUUUUUUUUAUUUUUGGUAAUUCCUCUCUAUCUUAACUGUCAAAAAUCAAAUAUCCUAAUUUAUCAACACUAUAUAAUACCCAAAUACUGCAGAAGAGCUGUUACAUUUAACUUACUUUAAAUGUUAGCAUAAAACUGUAAGACUGGCGUAAGGAUGAUACAAAUUAUUUUCUACAGAGACAAAGGAGAGCCACCUUCAGAAAGUCAACCAUCUUCCCUGCCAAGCGAGAGGAGUUUCAGAGAUGGCAUGCCAGAUAAUUCAGGAUUGAUCCAGUUAACCCAAAUUGGCAAAGUUAAAGAUGGGCUUUCAAUUAAAGAGUAAAAGAAGCAAAAGAAGCAAAGCAUCAAAAAAUACAUUGCAGCUCAAUUAAGGACAAGGAGAUUGUCACUGAAGACAACUUCUCUCAACAAACCAAAGUAUAUUUUCUCUGACUAGUUCCUUAAUUGAAAUGAAAAGGUAAUCUGAACCAUUUCUUGAGUAUACAAAGCAAUAUACCAACUACUAAAUUGAGUCAAUCAGACAUAAGGGGUCAAACAAGCAUCAAUGUAAUUGAUAUUAAUCAUAUUCACUGCAAUUAUGUAAAUGUACUUUGGAAUGCUAUGUGUUACUUUUGUAUGCUACUGAUGCUUUUAUAGAACCUAUGAAUUUCUAAAUUCAAAGGCAUGAAAAAUGCUUAAAAGAUGUUGACAAUGCCAUCAACUAUGCUUCCAGCUGACUUAAGUAUUACAGGUUAAGAGCCACUUUUGCCACAUCUCACAAAUAAAUCUGUGGCUGUCUCCAUCCUAGGUCUUUGGCUAAGCACAGUUAGAUAAACAAGCAUAAUUUAUCCCUUAUAUUACAUUAACAGCUGAUGAACUGAGGUUCUUUAUUUGCAUGUAAGAGCACAAAAGGAAAGCAAGCACUGAAUUGUCCUUCAGAAUGUGAGGCCCUGAAAUCUAUUUUUUCUGGAUGAGCCCUUCGAGAUGUCUUCUGGAUAAGGAUUCACAUUACUAAGCCAAAAUGCAAUAGUCUAUGGCAGACAAAGAGCUCGACUACGUGAAUGAGACAAAACAAAACCCCAUGGGGUUUUUGGGAAUGGUUUAAGAGUAAAUAGGAAAAGUGUGUAUCUGUCAUAUAUUAUAAAAAUAUAAUCUCAGGAACAUCCACAUCUGUUUCUGGUUUUGCAAUUUUAGGUUUUAGUCAAACAGUAUUGCUGUCAUAGCUUUCUUCCUACUGUAGAGAUACAUUUUAUCUCAUGUGAUGUAACAAGAUGAAGGCUGUUAAAGCAGCUGCUCAAAAUAAAAGGUCUCUAAAAAGCAAUAGCUUCAGCUGUAUCAAGACUUCCCUAAGGAGACAUAUUCAGACACCUAGGCCAAACUCAUAUCAUUUGUCUUCUUCUCUUGUACAAAUGAAAAGCAAAAACACUGAGGGAAAAUAAACAGUAAAAUCAACAUUAGGCCUCUCAAGGCAAGUUAAUUAUGUCAGCACAAAUUACUGAAUCUUAUAUAACAUUCACCCAAAAUUAUGUAUUCCUAUAAAGUGAUCAUCCUGAUAAAAGAUACUGUUAUUUAACUUAUGGCUUAUCUUCAAUUUUGAAUCUAUGGUUACUUAGUGUCGCAUGUUUUAGGCAAUAAAUGGACUCCUCCACAUAAAUACAAAGCAUCACAAAUGUAACCUGCUAGCUCUUUCAAUCAGAGGCAGUUUACUGUGAGGUGAUGUAGGCAGCCAUUGAGGAUUCCACAGAGGAAGCUUCAAAUGACACAAUUUACUCUCAACUUAGAGAAUUGACAAGUAUUUGCUUCCUUCUAUUAGAAUUUUAAAUAACAAGAUAAACAAAAUAAAUAGCAUGAUAAAUGUA